UUAAGGUCUAUGAGGCUCUUCUCCUGCAACAGUCCUUUGAGCCGGGGACCCUCAGUCAUGUUCUCCUAAAGCCACUGCUCCUGCCGCUGCUGCUUCCAUAGCCUCCGCUGCGGGGCCCUGCCUUCAAGAGAAAGGAAGCUGUAAGAGAACUGUG